CUUCAACGAGCCCAGAAGCAGCGGCUCUUCACGCUCCUGACCGUAGGUCGCCAGCAGCGCCUGCGCCUC
rfam:Streptomyces griseoruber strain DSM 40281 genomic scaffold PRJNA299232_s046, whole genome shotgun sequence.